GGCACAAUCUGAUGCAAAAACAGCAAUUUGGAUCCACCGUCAACCUCAACGGCACCCGACAGUCCGAAACAGUCUAAACACUACUGUAAAAAUAAGCUCGGCAUCCCAGCGCGAGCGUAAAUGCAUUAUACACUAUCCUGAAUAUCCACCGCCAACAAACUGCGGCGAUACAAAUAAACUACAGCUCCUAAGCUAUCCGCGUAUCAAAUGCGCACUAACAGCGUAGAUACGAACCGCAACAGCUUCAGAAGCUAUCUGAAUAU
rnacentral:lncRNA from 1 species